rnacentral:rRNA from 1 species
GACGAACGCUGGCGGCGUGCUUAACACAUGCAAGUCGAACGGAAAGGCCCUGCUUUUGUGGGGUGCUCGAGUGGCGAACGGGUGAGUAACACGUGAGUAACCUGCCCUUGACUUUGGGAUAACUUCAGGAAACUGGGGCUAAUACCGGAUAGGAGCUCCUGCUGCAUGGUGGGGGUUGGAAAGUUUCGGCGGUUGGGGAUGGACUCGCGGCUUAUCAGCUUGUUGGUGGGGUAGUGGCUUACCAAGGCUUUGACGGGUAGCCGGCCUGAGAGGGUGACCGGCCACAUUGGGACUGAGAUACGGCCCAGACUCGUACGGGAGGCAGCAGUGGGGAAUAGUGUACAGUGGGCGGAAGCCUGAUGCAGCAACGCCGCGUGCGGGAUGACGGCCUUCGGGUUGUAAACCGCUGUCGCCUGUGACGAAGCGUGAGUGACGGUAAUGGGUAAAGAAGCACCGGCUAACUACGUG